UACGUAGGGUGCGAGCGUUGUCCGGAAUUAUUGGGCGUAAAGGGCUCGUAGGCGGUGUGUCGCGUCGGCCGUGAAAACCUGCAGCUUAACUGUGGGCGUGCGGUCGAUACGGGCAUCACUGGAGUUCGGCAGGGGAGACUGGAAUUCCUGGUGUAGCGGUGAAAUGCGCAGAUAUCAGGAGGAACACCGGUGGCGAAGGCGGGUCUCUGGGCCGAUACUGACGCUGAGGAGCGAAAGCGUGGGGAGCGAACAGG
rnacentral:rRNA from 1 species